UCGGACUGCAGGCUGCAACUCGCCUGCAUGAAGCCGGAGUUGCUAGUAAUCGCGGAUCAGAAUGCCGCGGUGAAUGCGUUCCCGGGUCUUGUACACACCGCCCGUCACACCAUGGAAGUUGGGGGUGCCCAAAGCCGGCAGGGAAAUAUGCUGUCUAAGGCAAAACCAAUGACUGGGGUGAAGUCGUAACAAGGUAGC
rnacentral:rRNA from 1 species